UACGGAGGGUGCAAACGUUGCUCGGAACCAUUGGGCGUAAAGCGCACGUAGGCGGCCUGAUAAGUCGGGUGUGAAAGCCCUGGGCUCAACCCAGGAAGUGCACUCGAAACUGUCAGGCUUGAAUAUGGAAGAGGGUCGCGGAAUUCCCGGUGUAGAGGUGAAAUUCGUAGAUAUCGGGAGGAACACCAGUGGCGAAGGCGGCGACCUGGGCCAAUAUUGACGCUGAGGUGCGAAAGCGUGGGGAGCAAACAGG
rnacentral:rRNA from 1 species